rnacentral:rRNA from 1 species
GGGGAACUGAAACAUCUAAGUACCCGGAGGAAGAGAAAUCAAACGAGAUGCCCACAGUAGCGGCGAGCGAAGAGGGCAGAGCCCAAACCGAGAAGCUCCGGCUUUUCGGGGUUGAGGACCGGCAGAAUCGAAGUCAGGCCUAGUUGAAUUACCUGGAAAGGUAAGCGAGAGAGGGUAAAAGCCCCGUAGACGAAAGGCAGAGCAGAGAGGCCGAGAUCCAGAGUACCACGAAGCACGAGGAAUUUUGUGGGAAGCAGGGGGGACCACCCUCCAAGGCUAAAAACUACUUGGCGACCGAUAGCGCAUAGUACCGUGAGGGAAAGGUGAAAAGAACCCCGGGAGGGGAGUGAAAUAGUACCUGAAACCGUAUGUCUACAAGCAGUCGAAGCGAAAGCGACGGCGUGCCUAUUGAAGAAUGAACCAACGAGUUAUCUGCACUAGCGAGGUUAAGUGGAAGACACGGAGCCGCAGCGAAAGCGAGUCUUAAGAGGGCGCUAGUUAGUGUAGGUAGACCCGAAACCGCAGUGAUCUACCCAUGUCCAGGUUGAAGCGCAGGUAAAAUUGCGUGGAGGACCGAACCGGUGAGCGUUGAAAAGCUUUCGGAUGAGAUGUGGGUAGGGGUGAAAUUCCAAUCGAACGCGGAGAUAGCUGGUUCUCCCCGAAAUAGCUUUAGGGCUAGCCUGAGGUAGUAAGUAUAGGCGGUAGAGCACUGAUCGGGCUAGGGGCCGUAAAGGUUACCGAACCCUGUCAAACUCCGAAUGGAUAUACUGUAGAGCCUUGGAGUCAGACUACGAGUGAUAAGAUCCGUGGUCAAAAGGGAAACAGCCCAGACCACCAGCUAAGGUCCCCAAUGUCGUACUAAGUGGAAAAGGAUGUGGGGUUUCAUAAACAACCAGGAUGUUGGCUCAGAAGCAGCCACCAUUUAAAGAGUGCGUAAUAGCUCACUGGUCGAGAGACCCUGCGCCGAAGAUUCCCGGGGCUAAAGUACGAAACCGAAGCUGUGGCUGUAUACGUAAAGUAUACGGGGUAGGGGAGCGUUCCCAUAGGGUAGAAGUCGAACUGGAAGGUUCGGUGGACUUGUGGGAAGUGAGAAUGUUGGUAUGAGUAGCGAAAAGAAAGGUGAGAAUCCUUUCCACCGAAAGCAUAAGGAUUCCUGAGCAACGAUCGUCGUCUCAGGGUAAGUCGGGACCUAAUCCGAGGCAGAGAGCGUAGGAGAUGGACAACUGGUUGAUAUUCCAGUACCGGUAGUAAUUGUUUGAGCAAUGGAGUGACACAGAAGGGCAGGCAAGCAUGCGAAUGGAAGAGCAUGUGUAAGCGUGUAGGGUGGUGCAUAGGCAAAUCCGUGCACUGAAAGCCUGAGGCGUGAUGCGGAGUGAGCAGAGAUGCGAGCGAAGUUGUUGACCCCACACUGUCGAGAAAAGCUUCUAGUGAGAGAGCUACCGCCCGUACCGUAAACCGACACAGGUAUGCGGGGAGAGAAUCCUAAGGUGCGCGGGAGAACCCUCGUUAAGGAACUCGGCAAAAUGUACCCGUAACUUCGGGAUAAGGGUAGCCACUGUUGUGAAGUCCCAUGCGGAUGGAGCAUAGAGUGGUCGCAGAGAAGAGGCCCAAGCGACUGUUUACCAUAAACACAGGUGCCUGCUAAAGCGAAAGCUGACGUAUAGGUGCUGACACCUGCCCAGUGCCGGAAGGUUAAGGAAGGAUGUUCGGAUUAGUCCAAAGCAUUCGACUGAAGCCCCGGUGAACGGCGGCCGUAACUAUAACGGUCCUAAGGUAGCGAAAUUCCUUGUCGGGUAAGUUCCGACCCGCACGAAAGGUGUAACGAUUUGGGCACUGUCUCAACGAGGGACCCGGUGAAAUUGAAAUACCUGUGAAGAUGCAGGUUACCCGCGACUGGACAGAAAGACCCCAUGGAGCUUUACUGUAACCUGACAUUGGGUUUUGAUACAUUACGUACAGGAUAGGUGGGAGGCAUGGAAAGCUGGACGCUAGUCUGGCUGGAGCCGACGUUGGGAUACCACCCUUGAUGUAUUGAAAUUCUAACCGCGAGAGUAACGAAAUCCGGGACAGUGUCAGGCGGGCAGUUUGACUGGGGCGGUCGCCUCC